GGUGUCUUCGGACGCCGGCAUACGGCUCAGUAACACGUAGGUAACCUACCCUCAGGACUGAGAUAACCCCGGGAAACUGGGGCUAAUAUUAGAUAGAUAAAAGAUACUGGAAUGUUCUUUUAUCCAAAGCUUUUGCGCCUGAGGAUGGGCCUGCGUCCGAUUAGGUUGUUGGUGGGGUAAUGGCCCACCAAGCCUGCGAUCGGUACGGGCAGUGGGAGCUGAAGCCCGGAGUUGGGGACUGAGACAAGGCCCCAGGCCCUACGGGGCGCAGCAGGCGCGAAACCUCUGCAAUGCGGGAAACCGUGACAGGGGGAUCCCAAGUGCUCAUGCAUUGCAUGGGCUGUUCUUUGGUCUAAGUAACCAGAGGAGUAAGGGCUGGGCAAGACCGGUGCCAGCCGCCGCGGUAAUACCGGCAGCUCAAGUGGUAGCCGCGAUUAUUGGGCCUAAAACGUUCGUAGCCGGAUAAGUAAGUCUUUGGUUAAAUCCUGCGACUCAACCGUGGGAAUUCUAGAGAUACAGCUUGUCUUGAGACCGGGAGAGGUUGGAGGUACUCCUAGGGUAGGGGUGAAAUCCUGUAAUCCUAGGGGGACCACCUGUGGCGAA
rnacentral:rRNA from 1 species